UAAUUUUUUUGUAAUUUUUGUAGAGACGGGGUUUCACUGUGUUGCCCAGACUGGUCUCGAGCUCCUGAGCUCAAGCGAUCCACCCGCCCAUGCCUCCCAAAGUGCUGGGAUUACAGGCGUGAGCCACUGCACCCAGCCCUCUUAGCCAUUUUGUUAACCUCAUUUCCCACCUCUGGAGGUGGUAGGGGCUUCCCAAGAAGAUCACUUGGACCUCUUCAAGUAUGGUGGCAAUAUUGCUGGGCUGUUGGAGAGACUUUUGUUAUAGAGGCUCCCCUCUUGUGUUUUUCCUCAAAGGCAAGGAGUCAUUUUUGGUCACAUGAGGUCAAAGAGACCAGACCAGUAGUGCAUUCUGUUUUGCAUGGGAAUUGUCAAGGCUCUUUCAGUUUUAACUGAAACCCAACUCAAACUGGCCUAAGUCAAAAACGAAUUUAUUCAUCUAUGUAACUGAAAAGAGUGGGCCACAAGGGGGAGGCUUCAGGCUAGCUGCAUCUAAGUUUUAAAUCAUGUGAACAGAUCUCCCUUUCCCCCUCCCCCAUCUCUUGACUUUGCUGUCAUCUGUGUUAGUUUCAUUCUGAAGCAGGCUUCCACCGUGAAAUAGAAGAGGUGGCAACUGGUGACAUCAUGAGACGAUGUGUAAUCUGAGCAACCCUAACCAAGAACUUAUUUUCCUUAGUAGUUCCAGCAAAAAUCCAGAGAGGACUAUCCUUGGCCAGGCUUUACCCCAUGUCCACUUCUGGAGCCAAGAAAGACAGUUCCUUCUCCAAGGGGAACCCAGGGUGUUGAUACUAGAAGAUGGAAAUGGAUACAGUAAGAUGCUGCCACAGUGAGAUGCCUCACCCAGGUCUCCCUCUGUCACUCCAGCCAAGCACAUGGGAUAGAAAGUAGCAGGCGGCCUCUGGCCCUUUAAUGGAAGAGGGCCAUCCAGUCCUCUCCAGUUAACAUCUAGACCGAACACAAAGCAUCCUUCUCUCAUCCAGAAGACAUAGGAACCCUACCUUCAGGGAUGAUUUUUUUUUAACAGUGAAAUCUUAAAAGUAACUGUUUCACUAAAGCCUCCAGUAUUUACUGAAGACUGUCAGAAUCAUCCUCCAUCACUAGAUCUUCUCCACCAGUCAUGUUCCCUGAGCAGUGGGGUGGCUUGAAGGUAUAAACCAGAGAGGCCCAAGGGAGGGAUAGUUAGCAGACUUCUGGUCUUUUUCUAGUUUGUGCUCAUCUGUUCCAAGGACCACAGGAUUCUUCUCAUCGCAGUGCUCCAGGCAG
rnacentral:lncRNA from 1 species